GCAGGCUACAGCUAAAUGUGUGGAGGAGGUGGAGGUACAGGCUACAGGCUACAGCUAAACGUGUGGAGGAGGUAGAGGUACAGGCUACAGCUAAACGUGUGGAGGAGGUAGAGGUACAGGCUACAGCUAAACGUGUGGAGGAGGUGGAGGUGCAGGCUACAGCUAAACGUGUGGAGGAGGUAGAGGUGCAGGCUACAGCUAAACGUGUGGAGGAGGUAGAGGUGCAGGCUACAGCUAAACGUGUGGAGGAGGUAGAGGUGCAGGCUACAG